CUGAUCCCUUUUAAGGUUGGCGUCUUAUGGAAGAUAAGGAUAAGAAUAAAGUAGUUUCGGUUCAAAUUCAAGUGUUGGUUGAUUCUUAUCACCAAUUCAAAUCAAAUUUAAAUUAAAUUUUGAACCAAACUUUAUUCUUAUCUUAUGAACUCAGAGAGGGGUCAACCAAUAUCAGAAUGGUGCAAAAAAUUUUAUGUAAAAAUAUUUUAUGCAUGGAGAAAUGUGGUGGCGUGAAGAGGAGAGUCCAACUCAAUUUGGGUUCUAGAUUUUUAUUCAAAUUCAAAUCAAUUUGAACUCAAAUUUAAACCAACCAAUUUCUAAUUCAAAAGAACUCAGAUGAGGACAUGAGAAAGACUUCUGGGCAUGAGAAAAAAUCAUAUAAAAUAUUUCUUACGUGAAGAAUAAGAGGACGUAGAUAAAGGA
rnacentral:lncRNA from 1 species